rnacentral:tRNA from 1 species
UUCUUGUAGUUAAGAUUCUUUAACGAUAGCUUUUCGA